UGCAGUUCGAACGAUGAUCCCGCGUGCCUUGCAGCGGGGGAUUAGUGGCGAACGGGUGAGUAACACGUGAGUAACCUGCCCUUAACUCUGGGAUAAGCCUGGGAAACUGGGUCUAAUACCGGAUAUGACUGAUCAUCGCAUGGUGGUUGGUGGAAAGCUUUUUGUGGUUUUGGAUGGACUCGCGGCCUAUCAGCUUGUUGGUGAGGUAAUGGCUUACCAAGGCGACGACGGGUAGCCGGCCUGAGAGGGUGACCGGCCACACUGGGACUGAGACACGGCCCAGACUCCUACGGGAGGAGCAGUGGGGAAUAUUGCACAAUGGGCGCAAGCCUGAUGCAGCGACGCCGCGUGAGGGAUGACGGCCUUCGGGUUGUAAACCUCUUUCAGUAGGGAAGAAGCGAAAGUGACGGUACCUGCAGAAGAAGCGCCGGCUAACUACGUGCCAGCAGCCGCGGUAAUACGUAGGGCGCAAGCGUUAUCCGGAAUUAUUGGGCGUAAAGAGCUCGUAGGCGGUUUGUCGCGUCUGCCGUGAAAGUCCGGGGCUCAACUCCGGAUCUGCGGUGGGUACGGGCAGACUAGAGUGAUGUAGGGGAGACUGGAAUUCCUGGUGUAGCGGUGAAAUGCGCAGAUAUCAGGAGGAACACCGAUGGCGAAGGCAGGUCUCUGGGCAUUAACUGACGCUGAGGAGCGAAAGCAUGGGGAGCGAACAGGAUUAGAUACCCUGGUAGUCCAUGCCGUAAACGUUGGGCACUAGGUGUGGGGGACAUUCCACGUUUUCCGCGCCGUAGCUAACGCAUUAAGUGCCCCGCCUGGGGAGUACGGCCGCAAGGCUAAAUCAGAAAUUUUUUUAAGUUGACGAG
rnacentral:rRNA from 1 species